CAAAGCUCCCAUGAUUGGAGAACCUUGUCCUCAAGGUUCAAGAGAAGGAAACCGGCGCUGAAUGUCAAACAAGUAUUACCAUGAUAACUUUAGGUUCUUGGAGAAGAACAUCAUGGACUAUCGUUGGUAACUCAGUUGAUGUUUGAUAAUUUCCCACCAGCACCUUCAACUGCAACACAUGAAAAACCGGGUGCACUUGAGAACCACCAGGGCUGAAGUUUCACAUAGACAUAAUCACCAAUCUCAAAUCUCCUUUCGGUUCUGUGUUGGUUAGCAAAGAUUUGCAUUCGAUGAUGAGGUCUUAACAAGUGAAACUUUAAAAUCAGAAUCAUACUCUCUCGCUCCUGCAACUUUUAGCCACAACCGCAACCUUAGCCUCCCCUGGUAAGUAAGGCAAAUGUAAAGAGAGGUUGAGUUAUAGAAAUAAUGAUGUUUUGAUGAUGGGUGGUGAUUUUAUGUACAUACAUUGUUGUGCACACAUUCUUAACUUGAUUGCCAAUGAAGGUCUUGAUGAUAUAA